GUGAUAUUUGGCAAAUUAUAUAGCCUAUCAGGCUUCAAGUUCAUUGCUUACUCUUUAUUGAUAAUGUCUACUUCAUAGAGAAAUCCACCAUUAGCUCUUGAAAAUUUUUCCUUAACCAUGGUCUCUUGGAAAUAUUACCUUUAUGACUUCACUUCAGAAGCUACAAGUCACAGAAUGUAUGAAGAUCUCUGCUUCUUCCUCAGGAUAGCAUUUCUGCUGUAACAAAAUCAUGAGGUACAAAUUUUAUUGAAGCAAAUAAAGGAGCUGUGUACUCACUGAAUCCUACCCACAGAAGAAGAGUUGUAUGCUUAAUUACAACAGAGAAGAGCCUCUGUUGUUCUCUGAACCAGGAUCUCAAUUGUAGUAU